rnacentral:lncRNA from 1 species
UUUUUGGGGCCCUUGGAUUUGAAAUGUACCUUUAUUAAUGACUGUGCUACCUGAGCAACAUCAGAAACUUCUCUACCUGUGUCAACAUCUACUAGGUCCCCCUUGCCUUCAGAUGGUGGAGAAUGAUGCCUUAGACCCAGACCUGGAGUUGCCACCCUGUCCCAGCAUGAACUGCCUGCUAUUACCAUGCACCAGGGUUCUGAUUCCUUGACCUGUUUGUAGGGCUAGAUAGUGAAGACACAAUACUUCUUCCUUAUCCUGUUCACCCCUAUCCCUCACCUCCAUUUGUCUUCCCUGUUCUUUUCUUUAGGGGGAGGGGCGGCACCACAGGUGAAGCCCUUUGUCCCCACUAGGCGUGGUCCAGGUGGUGGGUGGAGUGUGCGGUUUCAAGGAAGGAAAAUGUAGCAGCUGGAGCUCUUAAGGUAGGACACGCAGUGUUUAGGGAGAGUAGGAGAAACCAGAUGGAAGGGCAGGAAAAGAUAGGGUUGGAGGCGCGUUGCGUCAGGGGCGGCUCAGAAAAUAGGAGAGGAAGUGGCUCUCGCGGGAUCUCACGAGUUCCAGAGGCAUGCCAGGGGAAUCCUGGGAGGAGAAUCUGCCGGGAGCCGUGGGUCCCCGAGGCUCCUUCUCUCUGUGUUUUCCAUAAAAACGUCUGGCGCACCCCACCUAAGAAGCAAGCCCCAGUUCUGGUGGAGGCCUUGCUACCCUACUCCCCACUCGAGUCACAGUUCAGCGGUUCCUCUUCCAAGGGGCGCGGCGAGAUUUGCCUCGUGGUGAGAACCUGCUGUGUAUCCUGUUUACAAGGUGCUUGGGGAACUUCUACUCAUGGUUAGUAGUGAUGUAAGUUCAAUGCACAUGAAUACGAACAUUAAUAUUGAAUUUUUUAAAGGUAAAACACAGUGCAAACCAAGAAUUAUAUUGGUCUUAUUUUUCUAUUUAUACAUGAUUAUUUAAGGCGUCAUUUGUUUAUCUUCUUUCUCCAACUAAGUUACUCUAAAGUGGCAGCUAAUUAAUCAAAGGAUAUAAUAACAUUUGAUGAAGUGAUCAAGUAAGACCUAUGAAGAAUAUGAGAAUCAAGCUAGUCCUUGAAGAGGAGGUUUCAUUGUAAAUUAUUUUGAUUUUCAGGCAGAGAACAUCAGUGUAUGCCACUGUGCAGUUUUGUUUUUAAAAUCAACUUUUUUUUUCUGUAUUUUUAUUUCAUUCAUUCAUUUGCAGAUCCAUCAUUCAGUAAGCAUUCAUAGGGUACAUACUGUGUUCUAGGAACCAUGCUAAACCUUUGGGAUACAAAAUAAAAUAAUGCACAGUUAUCUAUAGUUGUCUCCA